CGUUCCCGGGCCUUGUACACACCGCCCGUCACGUCACGAAAGUCGGUAACACCCGAAGCCGGUGGCCCAACCCCCUUGUGGGGGAGGGAGCUGUCGAAGGUGGGACUGGCGAUUGGGACG
rnacentral:rRNA from 1 species